UCUUCACCUUGCACUUUUAUGUUAUGGAGAUUGCUGUUUUCCUUACACCUCGUGAACCAAACUCUGCUACAUGCAAGCUUUUCUUCUGCAGCUUCCUUGCCUCUCUCAGCCUUCAUAGAUUUGGGAAUUCUUACACAGCCUGGAGAAGGAAACUCUGCCUGCAAGGAGAAAAUUUUACAAGUUGACUGGGCCCUGGACACCCAAGAUAUCCAGGUUAAAGAUGAUUCUGCAAAGAAAAACAAUGUGUUUUGGACAGCAAUACAGCAAAUGUGGUGAAAUAUUAACAAUUAUUAAAUCUAUGUAAAAGGUUUACAGGUA